UUCUCACACUCACACCUUCUCCCAUUCUGCCCCGUGUACUUCCACCAGAUCUACACAACUGGAACAUCAGGUAUCAGGAAAAAAUUCUUCCCUGGAAGACAAUAGGACUCAGAGGUCAGUGCCACUCCAGGACAACCAGAAUGCACAAAAACCAAGGGUUGGGUCUUUGAGGAGCAACACUGGAACAACUGAUGGUGCUACCCAGGGAACAGCUCAGCAAACUGGGGGUUUUCUGAGGAGGGGACACCAACGAUUCAGGGAAGGCUUCUCUAAGCCAGCAACCAAGAGGCAGAUUCCAAAAUUGAGGAGUUGCAUCUCCUUGACGCCCAGGUUGUUCUGCUCCAUUGGUCUGGGAUGGUUUGGUCUUGAAGUUCCUUCCUCAGCCAGAUGCUGCUUUUUAAAGAUUUCCAUUUGCAGCUUAAAAAUAUAGGAAUAUUGAAGUGAGGGCUGGGAAGAACAAUCAGUUCCCAAAAGUCAGCAAAAAUGUC